rnacentral:lncRNA from 1 species
GGAACAAUAAAGCAGAACUGCAGACAGGGUGUUAGGCUUGAGAUUCUCUGAGACUGUUUGACACCAGCAUCCCUGAAGCGUUUGCUUGCAGAAGAAUGGGACUGUGAUUCCUAGAGAAUGCCACCAAGACUUGCAGCCUGGGUGACCGCUUCAGUGUCUGUGGAGCCCUCAUGGUCAAGACACCAUUGUGGAAGUUGUAGCAGGAUGGACCUUAAGUACAGUCGAGGAUUUGGUUCCAUUAUAUAAUCUGGGCUGGAUGCCACUGAGU